CACCCCACCGAAAGCUACAAACCGUUUCAUGGUAGCCCACGAGGCCAUGACCCGGUGUCCCCACUCCCCAGUUCCUCAACAGCUCGUGAGUGUUGAGCGGCAGUUUUGACGGUGAAUGGCGGGCGGCACCUGGCUUGGUGGUCGGCGGCAUGAUGCUCAGCGGGUUAGAUCGGCGAGAAUGGAUUCAGACGCGAAGCAUUUUGAGCAGGCGCGUGGCCUCGAUGUCGGGGCAGCGCAGCAGGUGGUGGUCGCGGCGGCGCUGCAAGUGGUGGUCGCGACCGCACUGCUAGUGGUGGUCACGGCGGCGUUGGUUCGACCACGGUCGCCACGGACUGUAGAAGGACGAGCAUCCCGCGCCGCCACCGGUGUCCUCCGUAAUUCCCUUUGGAUCUCAUUCUGUGCUGCCUCAUUUCUUGCACACGAGGUGUUUGUUUUAAUGCCUGAAUGGGAACUGCUACUGACAAUGUGCUCAAAGAAGACUAGUAACAGCGAUAUAUUGAUAGGAACACUCCAUUUUUUCCAUUGGUGGGUGGUCAUCGAUUCGCAGUAGGCCAACUAGUCGUGCAACAUCGCUAGUGGUCCUCAGUGUCAGGUUUCGUUGACCGUUGGCUUGCUUAUUCAUGUGCUUUGCAUCUCCUCCCUGCAAGAUGGUCAGUAACCAGGUCUUUGCCGAUAGAGCUCUCCAGUGUCGCCACCUCCCCAUAAAUUGACAAAGGCUACUCAGUACAGUGAUAAAGUUCUCUCCUAUAUCUUGUUCCAUGAUUUGAAUUAAUGCAAGCCUUUACCUGAUUCAUUGGAGAAAUUCAGGCCAUUAAAAUUACAUAGCUGCUCAUAUGUUAACAACCCAAAAUGCUCUCUCUUGUGCCUGGUCGUUGUAAUGUACUCCUCCGUAAACAAAUAUAAGAGCGUUUAGAUCACUACUUUAGUAAUCUAAAUGCUCUUAUAUUAGUUUACAGAGGGAGUACUUGUGUAUGUCUGCUUGGACGCUUAUUUUUACUAUCAAACGGAUAUAUAUUAGCAAUGAGAACGGCGUCAGUCUUAUGUGUUA